AACGAACGCUGGCGGCAGGCCUAACACAUGCAAGUCGAACGCCCCGCAAGGGGAGUGGCAGACGGGUGAGUAACACGUGGGAACGUACCCUUCGGUUCGGGAUAACUCAGGGAAACUUGAGCUAAUACCGGAUACGUCCGAGAGGAGAAAGAUUUAUCGCCGAGGGAUCGGCCCGCGUCGUGAUUAGCUUGUUGGUGAGGUAACGGCUC
rnacentral:rRNA from 1 species